rnacentral:rRNA from 1 species
UACGUAGGGACCAAGCGUUGUUCGGAUUUACUGGGCGUAAAGGGCGCGUAGGCGGCGCGGUAAGUCACUUGUGAAAUCUCUGAGCUUAACUCAGAACGGCCAAGUGAUACUGCAGUGCUAGAGUGUGGAAGGGGCAAUCGGAAUUCUUGGUGUAGCGGUGAAAUGCGUAGAUAUCAAGAGGAACACCAAUGGCGAAGGCAGCUCGCUGGAACGGUACUGACGCUGAGGCGCGAAAGCGUGGGGAGCAAACAGG